GUCACUGGGCGAGCAUGAAGAGCAUACCGCGUGAGGGAUGAAGGCCCGUGGGUCGUAAACCUCUUUUUUCAAGGAGGAAGUUCUGACGUGUACUUGAAGAAUAAGCAUCGGCUAACUCCGUGCCAGCAGCCGCGGUAAGACGGAGGAUGCGAGUGUUAUCCGGAAUUACUGGGCGUAAAGCGUCUGUAGGUGGUUUAGUAAGUCGAUUGUUAAAGCUUGGGGCUUAACUCCAAAACAGCAAUGGAAACUGCUAGACUUGAGUAUGGUAGAGGUAAAAGGAAUUUCCAGUGGAGCGGUGAAAUGCGUAGAUAUUGGAAAGAACACCGAUGGCGAAGGCAUUUUACUGGGCCAUAACUGACACUCAGAGACGAAAGCUAGGGUAGCAAAUGGGAUUAGAUACCCCCAGUAGUCCAAA
rnacentral:rRNA from 1 species